rnacentral:rRNA from 1 species
AAAUUCAACAACGGAUCUCUUGGUUCUGGCAUCGAUGAAGAAGCAGCGAAAUGCGAUAAGUAAUGUGAAUGCAGAAUUCAGUGAAUCAUCGAUCUUUGAACGCACAUUGGCCCUCGGAAUUCGGGGGCAUGCUGUUCCACGUAAUU